CCUACGGGAGGCAGCAGUGGGGAAUAUUGCACAAUGGGGGAAACCCUGAUGCAGCGACGCCGCGUGAGUGAAGAAGGAUUUCGGAAUGUAAAGCUCUAUCAGCAGGGAAGAAAAUGACGGUACCUGAUUAGGAAGCACCGGAUAACUACGUGACAGCAGCCGCGGGAAAACGUAGGGGGAAAGCGUUAUCCGGAUUUACGGGGGGGAAAGGGAGCGGGGACGGCAGCACAAGUAUGGAGUGAAAUGCCGGGGCUUAACCUCGGGACUGCUUUGGACACUGUGCAGCUAGAGUGCAUGAGAGGUAAGUGGAAUUCCUAGUGUAGCGGUGAAAUGCGUAGAUAUUAGGAGGAACACCAGUGGCGAAGGCGGCUUACUGGCCUGUAACUGACGUUGAGGCUCGAAAGCGUGGGGAGCAAACAGGAUUAGAUACCCGAGUAGUC
rnacentral:rRNA from 1 species